CCCUUAGAUGUUCUGGGCCGCACGCGCGCUACACUGACGAAGUCAGCGAGCAUGUCCUACGCCGACAGGUUCGGGGAAUCUUGUCAAACUUCGUCGUGAUGGGGAUUGAUUUUUGAAAUUCUUGAUCAUAAACGAGGAAUUCCUAGUAAGCGCAAGUCAGCAGCUUGCGUUGAUUACGUCCCUGCCCUUUGUACACACCGCCCGUCGCUACUACCGAUUGAAUGGUUUAGUGAGAUCUUCGGAUUGGCGCCACUGCAGCUCAGCAAUGGGCUUGGUGGAUGCCGAAAAGUUGAUCAAACUUGAUCAUUUAGAGGAAGUAAAAGUCGUAACA
rnacentral:rRNA from 1 species